GAUGAACGCUGGCGGCGUGCCUAAUACAUGCAAGUCGAGCGAACGGACGAGAAGCUUGCUUCUCUGAUGUUAGCGGCGGACGGGUGAGUGACACGUGGAUAACCUACCUAUAAGACUGGGAUAACUUCGGGAAACCGUAGCUAAUACCGGAUAAUAUUUUGAACCGCAUGGUUCAAAAGUGAAAGACGGUCUUGCUGUCACUUAUAGAUGGAUCCGCGCUGCAUUAGCUAGUUGGUAAGGUAACGGCUUACCAAGGCAACGAUGCAUAGCCGACCUGAGAGGGUGAUCGGCCACACUGGAACUGAGACACGGUCCAGACUCCUACGGGAGGCAGCAGUAGGGAAUCUUCCGCAAAGGGCGAAAGCCUGACGGAGCAACGCCGCGUGAGUGAUGAAGGUCUUCGGAUCGUAAAACUCUGUUAUUAGGGAAGAACAUAUGUGUAAGUAACUGUGCACAUCUUGACGGUACCUAAUCAGAAAGCCACGGCUAACUACGUG
rnacentral:rRNA from 1 species